rnacentral:rRNA from 1 species
AGAUGGGCAUGCGUGACAUUAGUUAGUUGGUGAGGUAACGGCUCACCAAUGCAACGAUGUCUAGGGGUUCUGAGAGGAUUGUCCCCCACACUGGUACUGAGACACGGACCAGACUCCUACGGGAGGCAGCAGUGAGGAAUAUUGGUCAAUGGGCGAGAGCCUGAACCAGCCAUGCCGCGUGCAGGAAGACUGUUCUAUGAAUUGUAAACUGCUUUUCUACAGGAAGAAAUCAUGCUACGUGUAGUGUGUUGCCGGUACUGUAGGAAUAAGCACCGGCUAACUCCGUGCCAGCAGCCGCGGUAAUACGGAGGGUGCAAGCGUUAUCCGGAUUUAUUGGGUUUAAAGGGUGCGUAGGCGGAAUAGUAAGUCAGUGGUGAAAUCCUGCGGCUCAACCGUAGAACUGCCAUUGAUACUGUUAUUCUUGAAUGUAGUUGAGGUAGGCGGAAUGUGUAAUGUAGCGGUGAAAUGCUUAGAUAUUACACAGAACACCGAUUGCGAAGGCAGCUUGCUAAGCUACGAUUGACGCUGAUGCACGAAAGCGUGGGGAGCGAACAGGAUUAGAUACCCAGGUAGUCCACGCUGUAAACUAUGAUCACUCGUUGUUUGCGAUAUACAGUAAGCGACUGAGCGAAAGCAUUAAGUGAUCCACCUGGGGAGUACGUUGGCAACAAUGAAACUCAAAGGAAUUGACGGGGGCCCGCACAAGCGGAGGAACAUGUGGUUUAAUUCGAUGAUACGCGAGGAACCUUACCUGGGUUUAAAUGUAGGUUGCAUAGAGGGGAAACUCUCUUUUCCUUCGGGACUACCUACAAGGUGCUGCAUGGUUGUCGUCAGCUCGUGCCGUGAGGUGUCGGGUUAAGUCCCAUAACGAGCGCAACCCUUAUCGUUAGUUGCCAUCAGGUCAUGCUGGGGACUCUAACGAGACUGCCGGUGUAAACCGUGAGGAAGGUGGGGAUGACGUCAAAUCAGCACGGCCCUUAUAUCCAGGGCUACACACGUGUUACAAUGGUCGGUACAAAGAGCAGCCACUUGGCGACAAGGCGCUAAUCUCGAAAGCCGAUCACAGUUCGGAUCGGAGUCUGCAACUCGACUUCGUGAAGUUGGAUUCGCUAGUAAUCGCGCAUCAGCCACGGCGCGGUGAAUACGUUCCCGGGCCUUGUACACACCGCCCGUCAAGCCAUGGAAGCUGGGGGUGCCUGAAGUCCGUAACCGC